rnacentral:rRNA from 1 species
CUGCCUGUAAGACUGGGAUAACUCCGGGAAACCGGGGCUAAUACCGGAUGGUUGUCUGAACCGCAUGGUUCAGACAUAAAAGGUGGCUUCGGCUACCACUUACAGAUGGACCCGCGGCGCAUUAGCUAGUUGGUGAGGUAACGGCUCACCAAGGCGACGAUGCGUAGCCGACCUGAGAGGGUGAUCGGCCACACUGGGACUGAGACACGGCCCAGACUCCUACGGGAGGCAGCAGUAGGGAAUCUUCCGCAAUGGACGAAAGUCUGACGGAGCAACGCCGCGUGAGUGAUGAAGGUUUUCGGAUCGUAAAGCUCUGUUGUUAUGGAAGAACAAGUGCCGUUCAAAUAGGGCGGCCCCUUGACGGGACCUAACCACAAAGCCACGGCUAACUACGUGCCAG